UACGUAGGGUGCGAGCGUUAAUCGGAAUUACUGGGCGUAAAGCGUGCGCAGGCGGUUUUGUAAGCCAGAUGUGAAAUCCCCCGGGCUCAACCUGGGAAUGGCAUUUGGGGACUGCAAGGCUGGAGUACGGCAGAGGAGACUGGAAUUCCUGGUGUAGCAGUGAAAUGCGUAGAUAUCAGGAGGAAUACCGAUGGCGAAGGCAGGUCUCUGGGCCGAUACUGACGCUGGAGGAGCGAAAGCGUGGGGAGCGAACAGG
rnacentral:rRNA from 1 species